rnacentral:lncRNA from 1 species
UAACGAAAAAAUUAUCAUCUGCAUGCACUAAUGUGGCUAUGCACGUAGUCAAUCACAGUCUCUGAUUUCUAUGAUGAUGCACGAAGAUGGGUGCUUUAUGAAUGGUGCCCACAAAAGCUAGCAGUUAUUAUUGAUUGCAUGCACAACUACGUCAGCUGUUAUUGGUUGCAUGCACAAUCAUGUGUUACACGUGACAAUAAUUUUUUCUUGGAGCGUCAAAAUUACUCGUCCCAAUGGCACAGCUUUCCAAAUAGAUUUCUUGUAGACCCGU